rnacentral:tRNA from 1 species
GGGCCAUAGUUCAGUGUUAGAACAUCUGCUUUGCAUGCAGAAGGUCUCCAGUUAAAUUCCCAGCAUCCCCA